rnacentral:rRNA from 1 species
GAGCAACGCCGCGUGAGUGAAGAAGGGUUUCGGCUCGUAAAGCUCUGUUGGUAGUGAAGAAAGAUAGAGGUAGUAACUGGCCUUUAUUUGACGGUAAUUACUUAGAAAGUCACGGCUAACUACGUGCCAGCAGCCGCGGUAAUACGUAGGUGGCAAGCGUUGUCCGGAUUUAUUGGGCGUAAAGCGAGUGCAGGCGUUUCAAUAAGUCUGGUGUGAAAGCCUUCGGCUCAACCGGAGAAUUGCAUCAGAACCUGUUGAACUUGAGUGCAGAAGAGGAGAGUGGAACUCCAUGUGUAGCGGUGGAAUGCGUAGAUAUAUGGAAGAACACCAGUGGCGAAGGCGGCUCUCUGGUCUGCAACUGACGCUGAGGCUCGAAAGCAUGGGUAGCGAACAGGAUUAGAUACCCUGGUAGUCCAUGCCGUAAACGAUGAGUGCUAAGUGUUGGGAGGUUUCCGCCUCUCAGUGCUGCAGCUAACGCAUUAAGCACUCCGCCUGGGGAGUACGACCGCAAGGUUGAAACUCAAAGGAAUUGACGGGGGCCCGCACAAGCGGUGGAGCAUGUGGUUUAAUUCGAAGCAACGCGAAGAACCUUACCAGGUCUUGACAUCCAGUGCAAACCUAAGAGAUUAGGUGUUCCCUUCGGGGACGCUGAGACAGGUGGUGCAUGGCUGUCGUCAGCUCGUGUCGUGA